AUUGAACGCUGGCGGCAUGCUUUACACAUGCAAGUCGAACGGUAACAGGUCUUCGGAUGCUGACGAGUGGCGAACGGGUGAGUAAUGCAUCGGAACGUGCCCAGUCGUGGGGGAUAACGCAGCGAAAGCUGUGCUAAUACCGCAUACGAUCUAUGGAUGAAAGCGGGGGAUCGCAAGACCUCGCGCGAUUGGAGCGGCCGAUGUCAGAUUAGCUAGUUGGUGGGGUAAAGGCCCACCAAGGCGACGAUCUGUAGCUGGUCUGAGAGGACGACCAGCCACACUGGGACUGAGACACGGCCCAGACUCCUACGGGAGGCAGCAGUGGGGAAUUUUGGACAAUGGGCGCAAGCCUGAUCCAGCAAUGCCGCGUGCAGGAAGAAGGCCUCGGGUUGUAACUAGCUUUGUACGGACGAAAAGGUACUGGGUUAAUACCUGGCGUCAUGACGGUACCGUAA
rnacentral:rRNA from 1 species